UACGUAGGGUGCGAGCGUUGUCCGGAAUUAUUGGGCGUAAAGGGCGCGUAGGCGGCCUGGCAAGUGGAUGGUGAAAUCCCUCGGCUUAACCGAGGAACUGCCAUCCAGACUGCUUGGCUUGAGACCGGGAGAGGUGAGUGGAAUUCCCAGUGUAGCGGUGAAAUGCGUAGAUAUUGGGAGGAACACCAGUGGCGAAGGCGGCUCACUGGACCGGUACUGACGCUGAUGCGCGAAAGCGUGGGGAGCAAACGGGG
rnacentral:rRNA from 1 species